GAUGAACGCUGGCGGCGUGCCUAAUACAUGCAAGUCGAGCGAACAGACGAGGAGCUUGCUCCUCUGACGUUAGCGGCGGGCGGGUGAGUAACACGUGGAUAACCUACCUAUAAGACUGGGAUAACUUCGGGAAACCGGAGCUAAUACCGGAUAACAUGUUGAACCGCAUGGUUCAACAGUGAAAGACGGUCUUGCUGUCACUUAUAGAUGGAUCCGCGCCGCAUUAGCUAGUUGGUAAGGUAACGGCUUACCAAGGCAACGAUGCGUAGCCGACCUGAGAGGGUGAUCGGCCACACUGGAACUGAGACACGGUCCAGACUCCUACGGGAGGCAGCAGUAGGGAAUCUUCCGCAAUGGGCGAAAGCCUGACGGAGCAACGCCGCGUGAGUGAAGAAGGUCUUCGGAUCGUAAAACUCUGUUAUUAGGGAAGAACAAAUGUGUAAGUAACUAUGCACGUCUUGACGGUACCUAAUCAGAAAGCCACGGCUAACUACGUG
rnacentral:rRNA from 1 species